CCCUUAGACGUUCUGGGCCGCACGCGCGCUACACUGACCAGUGCAACAAGCAUCCGUCCUUGGCCGACAGGCUCGGGCAAUCUUUGAACGCUGGUCGUGAUGGGGAUAGACUUUUGCAAUUUUUGGUCUUCAACGAGGAAUUCCUAGUAAACGCAAGUCAUCAACUUGCAUUGAUUACGUCCCCGCCCUUUGUACACACCGCCCGUCGCACCUACCGAUUGAAUGGUCCGGUGAAGCCUCCGGAUUGGCGCGCACCUCGGUGCCGCCGAGAAGUUGGCUAAACCUUACCAUUUAGAGGAAGGUGAAGUCGUAACA
rnacentral:rRNA from 1 species